rnacentral:tRNA from 1 species
AGCUCGGUUGGUAGAGCGCUCCACUGGAAAUCGAGAGGUCCCGGGUUUGAUACCCGG